rnacentral:tRNA from 1 species
GCUGAAAGAUAGAGGGUAACGAACUCAAAAACCGUUGCCUGAAUAAGGCGUGUCGGUUCGACUCCGACCUUCGGCACCA